AACCAAAUUCUCUAGGUUUAAAUGUAACAGUUGCCCUGUGCUCCUCCACCUUAAUAGUGGAACAUUUACAGUGAGUGUUGAAUUACAAAGCAAGGAAAAUUUGAGCUGAAAAAUUGGUAUUUGAUUUCAGCCAAUUUGUAAAGUGAGGAAAGAAACUUUGCCUGCCAUUAAAAAAUGAUGGCCUGCAUUACAGUAACUGAUAUGGACACCGGAUCAGCCCCACUUCAAAAUGGAGAUCUUCAUCAAAGCUCACGGGCACCCAAACAGACUGGAAUGGGACUUCAUGUAAAACUUUAUCCCAUUCCCGGCAAACCGGAUAACAACUCCCUAAUGUUUCCACCAGAUAAAUACGUCGCAGAAGAGAUUUGCAUUGCAGCUGCCAAAGCCUGUGUGCAAAACAUCACUUUAGCAACUAGAAGCCAUUCAGAAGUUUUCCAGAACCCGAAAGUUUUUCAGGUAAUCUCAGUACAGUUUGGCAAGCUUCUAGUAAAGCUGAUUGGAGCCCUUCAUGUUUGUAGCCAUCAUCACAACUUUUAUUUUCAAUGCAUAAACUAUAAACUCCCAUCCUGUCACAAUGACAUGUAAUCAUA